rnacentral:rRNA from 1 species
AUUGAACGCUGGCGGCAUGCCUUACACAUGCAAGUCGAACGGCAGCGGACCUUCGGGUGCCGGCGAGUGGCGAACGGGUGAGUAAUAUAUCGGAACGUACCUUUCAGUGGGGGAUAACGUAGCGAAAGUUACGCUAAUACCGCAUAUUCUGUGAGCAGGAAAGCAGGGGGAUCGCAAGACCUUGCGCUGAUUGAGCGGCCGAUAUCAGAUUAGCUAGUUGGUGAGGUAAAGGCUCACCAAGGCGACGAUCUGUAGCGGGUCUGAGAGGAUGAUCCGCCACACUGGAACUGAGACACGGUCCAGACUCCUACGGGAGGCAGCAGUGGGGAAUUUUGGACAAUGGGCGCAAGCCUGAUCCAGCCAUGCCGCGUGAGUGAAGAAGGCCUCGGUGU